rnacentral:rRNA from 1 species
AGAGUUUGAUCCUGGCUCAGAACGUACGCUGGCGGCACGCCUAACACAUGCAAGUCGAACGAAGUAGCAAUACUUAGUGGCAGACGGGUGAGUAACAUGUAGGUAUCUGCCCUUUGGCCUGGAAUAACACGAGGAAACUUGUGCUAAUACCGGAUAAGUCUUUACGGAGAAAGCUUUAUGCACCAUUGGAUGAGCCUGCACUUGAUUAGUUUGUUGGUGGGGUAAUGGCCUACCAAGACUUUGAUCAAUAGCUGAUUUGAGAGGAUGAUCAGCCACAUUGGGACUGAGACACGGCCCAAACUCCUACGGGAGGCAGCAGUGGGGAAUCUUGCACAAUGGAGGAAACUCUGAUGCAGCGAUGCCGCGUGAGUGAAGAAGGCCCUUGGGUUGUAAAGCUCUUUCGUCGAGGAAGAAAAUGACUGUACUCGAAUAAGAAGGUCCGGCUAACUUCGUGCCAGCAGCCGCGGUAAUACGAAGGGACCUAGCGUAGUUCGGAAUUACUGGGCUUAAAGAGUUCGUAGGUGGUUGAAAUAGUUGGUGGUGAAAUCCCAGAGCUUAACUCUGGAACUGCCAUCAAAACUUUUCAGCUAGAGUAUGAUAGAGGAAAGCAGAAUUUCUAGUGUAGAGGUGAAAUUCGUAGAUAUUAGAAAGAAUACCAAUUGCGAAGGCAGCUUUCUGGAUCAUUACUGACACUGAGGAACGAAAGCAUGGGUAGCGAAGAGGAUUAGAUACCCUCGUAGUCCAUGCCGUAAACGAUGUGUGUUAGACGUUGGAAAUUUAUUUUCAGUGUCGCAGCGAAAGCGAUAAACACACCGCCUGGGGAGUACGACCGCAAGGUUAAAACUCAAAUGAAUUGACGGGGACCCGCACAAGUAGUGGAGCAUGUGGUUUAAUUCGAAGAUACGCGCAGAACCUUACCAACACUUGACAUGUUCGUCGCGACUUUAAGAGAUUAAAGUUUUCGGUUCGGCCGGACGAAACACAGGUGCUGCAUGGCUGUCGUCAGCUCGUGUUGUGAGAUGUUGGGUUAAGUCCCGCAACGAGCGCAACCCUCACUUUUAGUUGCCAUCAUUUAGUUGGGCACUCUGAAAGAACUGCCAGUGAUAAGCUGGAGGAAGGUGGGGAUGACGUCAAGUCCUCAUGGCCCUUACGUGUUGGGCUACACACGUGCUACAAUGGUAUCUACAACAGGAAGCAAAACGGCGACGUUAAGCAAAACCUUAAAAGAUACCUCAGUUCGGAUUGCACUCUGCAACUCGAGUGCAUGAAGCUGGAAUUACUAGUAAUCGUGGAUCAGCGUGCCACGGUGAAUGCGUUCCCGGGUCUUGUACACACCGCCCGUCACACCAUGGGAGUUGGUUCUACCUUAAGGCAAGGUUUCAAACCCUUGACCACGGUAUAGUCAGCGACUGGGGUGAAGUCGUAACAAGGUAACC